rnacentral:rRNA from 1 species
GCGACCCCAGGUCAGGCUGGAACUACCCCACUAA